CUAGGCCUCGUCACAAAUGAAAUUAAAUUAAAUGAUAUAUAAUUGAUAUGCGUCGAUACCUAAAACCCAUUGAUUUAAGGGCCUCGUGAGUUGUUCCCUCAACAGUUAACACCAUCCAUUCUUGUCACGAAAACGCCCCCACAGACGCAAUCACAAUCUCAUCCCUUAUUUACCUCCAAUUAUUUUCUCUGGCCUAUAGGUGGCCAGGUGAAGAUCUCAAUUUGAAUUAAAGGAAGAGAUCCAUGUAUAUUCCCGGACGCGUAGCUCGAUCACAAAUAUUAUUGCAUAUAUGCUAAGUGUUGAUUUUGAGAGCAGCCGGAUAAAAUAGUGUAUUAUUAUUAGCAUAACAACAAUAUUAUUCCUGAGAGUAUAAAAUCGGUAUUUAUUUUUAUAAAAAUAUUUUUAUAUUCUUAAACCUUUAUCUUU